rnacentral:rRNA from 1 species
AGUGAACGCUGGCGGUAGGCCUAACACAUGCAAGUCGAACGGCAGCACAGUAAGAGCUUGCUCUUACGGGUGGCGAGUGGCGGACGGGUGAGGAAUACAUCGGAAUCUACUUUUUCGUGGGGGAUAACGUAGGGAAACUUACGCUAAUACCGCAUACGACCUACGGGUGAAAGCAGGGGAUCUUCGGACCUUGCGCGAUUGAAUGAGCCGAUGUCGGAUUAGCUAGUUGGCGGGGUAAAGGCCCACCAAGGCGACGAUCCGUAGCUGGUCUGAGAGGAUGAUCAGCCACACUGGAACUGCAACACGAUCCAGACUCCUACGGGAGGCAGCAGUGGGGAAUAUUGGACAAUGGGCGAAAGCCUGAUCCAGCCAUACCGCGUGGGUGAAGAAGGCCUUCGGGUUGUAAAGCCCUUUUGUUGGGAAAGAAAAGCAGCAGGUUAAUACCCCGCUGUUCUGACGGUACCCAAAGAAUAAGCACCGGCUAACUUCGUG